rnacentral:lncRNA from 10 species
GGCUUUGAGUGAGUCAGCAUUUCCAGUCUAGCCAAUCCUGGUGCACUUACAACAUCAUUUCUGCACCUACAAAAUUAUGGACCAGAUUUUGGAGAGCAACAAGUUCACCAAGGGUUUUGCUCUGUUGUCCUGGCUAGGGUGCAGUGGUAUGAACAUGGCUCACUGCAGCCUUGACCUCCUGUACUCAAGCAAUCCUCCCUCUUCAGUCUCCUGAGUAGUGAGUAGUUGGGACCACAGAGGGUCAGAACUAGAGGUGGUGGAGUGAACGCCGCACCAGGCAAUGGAAGAAGCACUGGCCUAGACCAAGCUUGAGCGUGCACCACUGUCACCUGGAGGGCUUGUUCCAACACGGAUGGCUGGACUCACCCCCAGAAUUUCAGAUUUAUUAGGUCUGCACUGGGCCCUGAGAAUGUUUAUUUAAAACAAAUUCCUGGAUGCUACUGGUUCAGUUGCCACACUCUGAGACCCGCUGGCUUUGAGCUUAGAAGAUGUGGGUUUGAUUCCUGGAUUCCACAGUUUACUAGCUGUGAGUUAGAGAAUUUAAAUUACUUACCUGAGUCUUGGUUUCUUAUUUGCAAACUGAACUGUAAACUAUUUGUUCUACCCAUUUUAUAAGACUUUUGUAAGGAUAAAAUAAAAGAAUACAUAUGCAAAUUACUGAAAAACCUGUCACUGUUGUUAUUACUAGUAUUAUUGUGAAAGAAGCUGUAGAUUUAUGUCAGCCCCAGACAGGAGUUGACAGAACCUUCGAGUUGCACAAGGCCUGCUGGAGCACUUCAGAGAAUUCCAAAUGAAUCUUGAUUGCAUUGUGGAAUGUACAGCACUGGGGCCCUGGGGACCAGCAUGGAAUGUGAGUAAAGACAAGAUAGGUUCUAUCAUCCUCCAGACCUGCAGAUGUGUGUUCAAAUCCUGACUCCAUGGGGCUUGACUCUAUCCCAUCUGGAAAAAUGGAAAUAAAAGUGCCUACCUUACUGGUUUAUUGUGAGGACUAUUUGAGAUAAUGUAUUUAAAGAACUAGCACAGUGCACGGCACAUAGUGGGCACUCACUAAAUAUUAGCUCUUAAUAUAGUUAUGAAAACUAAACCCAAUGGGGAGAAAAUGCAAGGCCAUCUUGGUAAUACAACUGUAUGUAUUAUGAGGUAGCCAGGUCUCUCAGCCCAAAAGACCAUAUUCCAGGGCCAGGCAUGGUGGCUCACGCCUGUAAUCCCAGCACUUUGGGAGGCUGAGCUGGGUGGAUGACUUCAGGCCAGGAGUUCGAGACUAGCCUGGCCAAAAUGGCAAAACCCCCAUCUUUACUAAAAAUGCAAAAAUUAGCUGGGUAUGGUGGCACACACCUGUGGUCCCAGCUACUCAGGAGGCUGAGGCAUGAUAAUUACUGGAACCUGGGAGGUGAAGGUUGCAGUAAGCUGAGAUUUUGCCACUGCACUCUAGCCUGGGUGACAGAGCAAGAAAAAAAAAAAAAGACCAUAUUCCAGUGCUGCUGCUCUGAGAGAGCAGGAGCAGUUAGACUCACUGACCUCCCACGUUGCUUCCAAAUGAGAUUUUAAUGUCAGCACAAAGCAAACGCAUCUAGUCAGUUGCCAGCAACCAGGGCUGUUUUCCCCAGACUUCCCUUAUGACUGACAGCUACACCAUUCAUUUCUUUGCUAUGACCUACCUUG